rnacentral:lncRNA from 1 species
ACACACAAUAAUAAUAAUCAAUUUGCUGGGCAUAGUGGGGUGUGCGUGUAGUCCCAGCUACUCAGGAGGCUAAGGAGGGAGGAUCACCUGAGCCCAGGAAGUUAAGGCUGCAGUAAGCUUGGAUGGCACCACUGCACUCCAGCCUGGGUGACAGAGGGAGACUCUGUCAAUGAAUGAAUGAAUGAAUAAAUGAAUAAAUGAAUGAAUAGAAAAUGCUCUGAGCGAAAAGAGGAGAGUCUCUUUAUCUUUUUGCAACAGGCUAAACAAAAUUUUUAAAAAUGUAUAUUUGCCUCACAGAGAUUAUUCCAGGAAAAGAAAUGGCCCUCAGUGUCAAAGGAUGCAAAACUAACCUGUGAGUUCCUGGCAGGUUUAGCAAUAAAGGAGGAUGUUGCUGAUCUCAGUACAAGCAAUGUUAGAGAAAGGGGAAGAUGGAAGUGGACGAGGACCAGUGAGUGGAAGGUGACAAAUGGAAGCAAAGAAACCCAUCCAGACCAUUGAAGAUGCUUGAGCGAGAAGAAAGAGGCGGUGGAGGGAAUGGAAGCCCGAGGAAGUCAUUUGUUGCAAUAGGAUGCCUCAGAGCACGUGUAGGGUGCGGGGCAGAGCCCAUGCAGAGGGGCUGUGGAAGGCUGGCAGGGUGCAGGUGGCCCCACUCUCCGUCACCCUGAGGAAUAUGUGGUCAGAGUUAAAGCUCAGUCUGUUUCUGGGAUCAGUAUUUUGUCAUGGCAGCCCUAGCAAACUACUACAGGGACUGUGAGGGUUAAGAUGACACCAAACAUCAAAUGCCACUCCCUGUUCCAACACUGAGACCAUUCCACAGCCUCUGAAUGACAAGACAGGCCUUCAAAAUCAAGACCACCUGGCUAGAUUCUGGAUAUUAGCCUUCUGUCAGAUGGAUAGAUUAAAGCUUGCAAGCUGAAACUCAACAACUUAUGUAAACUUCUGGAGAAAUCACAGCAACUUACAUAUAAACAACCCUUGUGCCUGCUGAUGUGUGGACUACAGAAAAGGUACACAUGAACACUGUAUUCAGACUGCAAUUUAGAGAAAUGUGUCAGAUUACCACUGCAAUUGGAAGAUGCUUCAGAAACUCUAGAAAACCUAGUCUAUAGACUGCUCCAGACAUUACAGGUGAGCCAAGAUACAACUGAAAGGGUUAGAGUGGUGUUUGCUAAACGAAUUGCUCUAAUUGAAGCAGCAGUUGUGUGACUUUAAUAAGGUUCCAGGAUUAUACUGUCCCUUUGUUGCUGUGACUUCCCUUUGCCCUUUUCUGAUUUGUCUUUAUCCCUUUUCCAUGGGACAUGACUUCUUAAGAAUGAGCCUUCCUAGUGAUGCAGGAUCAGAUGAAACUUACAGUCACAAAGUCAUGUCUUCUACAAUGUUUUGUCUGAAAGCUUUUGAAGAAUUGGGGGGCCAGCUGUGCUGGCACAGGCCUGUAAUCCCAGCACGUUGAGAGUCCAAGGCAGGAGGAUCACUUGAAACCAGGAGUUUAAGACCAGCCUGAGCAACAAAGGGAGACCAUGUCUCUGCAA